ACCUUUCAUCAUGCAUAGGUAUUUUGUAUUUGUGACAAUAAGUGUUAUAUAUCUAUACUACAUUUUAUGUAUUUGUUUUGACUACUUUUGACUGACAAUUAAUCUGGCUUGGUCACCCCCCAAGUAUGAGUCUCUGCAGGUCAGAGUAAUGGUGGUGUCGAAAGGUUUCUCUUAUAGGUGGAAAGAGGUUCUUGCUGGGAACUGAACUUAUCAGUCAGACUUAACUGUACAUAAUUUCACAUAAGCCAGGUUCACACUGUACGAUUUUGGCUGCGAUUUGGUCAUCUGAGACAAAUUUUGAGAGUCCUAAAAGAUUCCUAUAAUCCUAGGCCAAAAUCUGUAGUCUUUGAUUGCUAGGUUGACAUGUUCCACGACAGCCAAUUAAUGGCCAUUGCGCUAAAAAUUUUUCCUUCGAUUCUGCUAAGGCUCACAAAUCUGUAUUUUUAUAACAGUAAACACCCUUAUGGUGUAAUGUUAAUGUUAUAUUGAGUCAUGUUUAUCAAAAUAAAACUGUUAAAAAAUAUAGACCACACUUUAUUGGUUUUUAAAUAAUACAGGCUUAUGUUGAACUUUAUUUUUGUACAUACAGGCUCUGUAUUACAGUGUAGGUAAAUCUGUAUAAUAGGUUAAGUAUUCAGUGUUUCUGGUUGCUACAUGUAAAAUUCUGACAUCUGUUUAUCUGAGAAAUAUUACAUCUAAUCCACUUAAAGAAAACAAACACUACGGGAAGCAGAAAGUGUCCGACUUGACAGCUCCGUUUUCAACUCCUACCCCGACUGCAAGCGGAAACUCUUGCUGAUCGUUUACAUCCAGCCACAGUUGUGAUUUUGUUAAGCUUUUACGUGUCUUGAAAAAAGCAGUUGCUGAAUUAGUGGCUAAAUGGGACUACAGAAGUUGUCUGGGACAUUAAACGUCAUUACACCGAGCAGGAAAACUGUACUACAGCCUCAAGUUUAUACUUGUUCUCUUGCAAACUUUCCAAUGUGUAGAUUUAUCAGUUUAUACUAUUUUCCAAUUGUAGCAUUAAAAAAAACAACAAUUUUUAGCACUAUAAAUUCUAUUGGAAGUGUAGCGUUGUAGUUCGUGGUGUAGUUCGUUUAUAGCUUAAUUUUAAUGUUUUACUUCUGCCGAUUGUAUUUGGGAUUCAAAAUUCAUAAAAGUUGUGUUCAUUUGUGAAGAUUAUCUUGAAGAACAAAACGUGUAAGAAUCAUAAACUUUUGUUGGUCACAGAGCUAAUUUUCUGCAUUAAUCCAAAAGCCAUUUUUGUCGAGGGAACCAGGGUGAUUAUAACUUCCGGGUUGGCCUACAAAAAUACGUCAUCUCUGCAACACUGCAGUUUAACUUACUUGCAGGUUACUAGGUGUAACCAACAGCGCUCUCGGCCGAUUGAAAUAGCCUUUCGACACGCCCCCUAACUUUCGGCACGACCAUCAUGACCUGCCGUGACCUUUUGGCUGGAUAUGUUGCCGCCUGGCAACCUUGCCUACGCAGGCCGCUGUGGAUGAUGGGAUAUGGUCCUGUUUUGUUGUGAUGACCCAGACUUUCAUUAGCUCACCACCUGUUCAACGAACGUCACUGCAGCGACACAUUUUCUGCCUGGAAACACGGCGAGCUAACCGGAGAGGGUGAAAAGGGUGUGUGCGCACACACAUCAGCUAGCUCAUGGAUGCAAGUUCCAAUUCCUCAGAUGACAAACAGAGGAAUCAAAGUAAGAGGAAUCAAAGCUGCCCGUCCUCCCAAGGAAAUGAAGCCCCAAUCACAUGGGAACUUAAUAGAGAACAUAGGAGUGAUUCACUGGGAGCAGCACCUGAACUUCCCCAGUGUAAAAUGGGUAGCAGGAAGGUAGACGACAUGAGCUUCAUGAUAUCGUGCACAAACUGGUACUAGGGACAUGUGAUCUGUGAUCACGUCAGCUUAGUAACCACUAAGCCACCGUGCGCCCUUGUUAUCAUUUAUGUUUAAGAUCAUUGUAUUUUUUUUCUUGAACUGAUGGCCACGGUACCCUGUGAUGUCAGUGUGUCACACAACCACUAAAUCCUCACUGGAAUAACAAAAAUACAGCACUGAAACUGGACACUUGUGAUCAGAUGAUGUUUUUCCAAUCUUCAACUGACCCAUUUCAGAGAGCCUGUGCCCACUGCAGCCUCAGAUUCCUGUCUGACAAGAGUGGACCCUGAUGUGGUCUUCUGCUGUUGUACCUUAUUCACCUCAAGAUUCGAUGUGUUGUGCAUUCCGAGAUGUUUUUCUGCCCACCAUGGUUGUAAACAGUGCUUAUUUGAGUUACCUGCCUGCUCCAUUGAAUUAUCUGCCUAAUUGGCUAAUGAAUGUGUGAGGUGUCCCUAUUAAAGUGACUGAGUGUUUUUAAUGUGUUUCAGAGUGCAACUUCAGAAGUUUAGGACACACAAAGCUUAUUUUAGUUGACUACUUGUCAGUGGUACAACAUAUAGCUAGAACACAAAGGCUAUAACAUAUAAAAGCUAGUCAUCGUCUCCAACUUUUCUAUUAUGCAUGCUAUUUGUUCCAGUUUAUAUUAGGCUUGAAUUGUACUGUUGCAUGCACAGUUGCUAUAUGAUAACCAAUACAGUUUUCACCAAUAAAGUGAGUUAUAAAGGACUCAAAGGACUACAUAUUCAGAUGUAAUUACACAACAAGAAAAAUCACAUUUCAUAAAAGCAAAUAUUCAGUGACAAUUAAAUAACUGAUCAUUUUUGCUUUUAUUGAAAUUAUGUUGUUAAUAGGAAAUGGAGAUGAUGAUAUUAGGUACACCUUGUACAACUUAAAAUCAAACAAAAACCCAGUUUAAUCUGCACAGAUGUAAAAAGGCAAAUUUUUGCAAAUAAAGCUUAAAUAUUGUUAGAUCAAGACUUUUUAAAAAUGAUUGCCAUUGUUAGGAAUGACAUCAUUGUAUAUGAUGUGUAAAAUUAUACACUACUCUUAAAAUGUGAACGAAAAAAAAUCUAAAAAUCCUCCAUUAACUGUUGUAUUUAUAUGAUCCAUCUGGAAAUUAGACAAUAUCAAAAAGCCGCACAGACAGAUUCUCUGUUGUUUGGUCUACAUAACUGUUUCCUUCAUAAAUUCUUCAAAUAAAGUAAAUAUUUAUGUACAUUAAAUACAUUGAAAAUUAAACAUAAAUCAAACAAAUAACGUUAAAGCUUUAUCGGAUAAAAGUUCAGUUGUAAUCAAUCCUCUGUAGACAAAGAACAUAAAUCAAUUUGUGUAAAGUUCUAAACAAGCUCUGAUAUGUUUGUUUGCCCUCUUUAUUUAUUGUUACUCUCUUAAAAUGAGUACAGAAACCAAAGGCAACAGCAGGUAGAGUUUAAGAGUGGCUGUCAUCCAGCGCCACCAUCACACCAAAAAUGAGGCAAUAUCAACAGAGAAUAUUCAUAUUCCCAUUUCUCUUUGUACAUUUUUUUCCAGAACAAACUUGUACUGGCAUGGCUUCACCUUUACUUAAAAAUUUUUCUAUAGAAAUUAUUGAUACUUUUAAAAAUUCUUUCCAUAAAAAUCAUGUAUGUUAAAAUUUGACUAUCCAGUGGUAUGUCCAGAACAGUUUUAGCAGCAGGCCCAAGAGUAGCACAGACGUUGUCAUGGGGGGCAUCAAUGUAUACUAAAUCCUGAUCAUGAGUCCAGCUAUCAGGAUCCAUACAGUCAAUCAUUUGUUUGUGAUAUAAUUGACAAAAGUAGAGUGGUAAAUAAUUCACAUAGAGUUUUAACAUCUAUGUUUGACACCUUUGUCCUUUGUUUGUAGAAAUGUUUUUUGAUGUGAUAACGACUCUCUGAGGAUACAAAGCCCAGCUGAGUAAGUAUGAGAAGUGAUUAUUAAAUAAGUCAGUUACAAACAGUGUAAGUCGAAUCAAAGUGCAUAAAUUACAAGAUGUAUGAUCAUAAAAUUAAGUUGAAGUUUACCAUUUUGGGCUUAUAAUUGUACUUUGGCCUUAAAAGUGUACUUUAAAUUAAUGUAGAUUGCAGAACAAGCAGUCAUUUAGGCUUUGCAAUGAAUUUAGCUACAGGCUACAGUAAAUAUGGAAUAAAACACUUUUGGUUCUGGACAUCUGCAUAAAACCACUCAGUCAUGGAUUGUUUUCCUAUAACAGCACACACAAAACUUACUAAUUGUUUCAAAGUAUUGACAUUGAGACUCCUUCCAUACAUGUUCAAUAAAUUCACUAUAUCAAUGAUUAUACAUUUUCCCUUUCAAUUAUUAUAAUUAUUAUUAGCCUUAGAUUAUGUAGAGUAUCCACCCUUCGAAUGAGAUCCCUAUGAAUGUAACUCUAAUACAUUAUUAUUUGUAUAAUGUAUUAAUAUAAACCUGUGAUUUAUACUCUAGA